AAAUCUUGGACCAAAUGCUGACCAUCUUUUUAAAUUAAUUGUCAGUUUUUUCCCUUGCAGUGUCUUUCAGUUCAAGUCUGAGAUUAAAAUGUGGCUACCAAGGAAAAUUUGUUUUCCUUUUUUAUUGGUUCAUGCAUCAUGAUAGCAUUUUACCAUUUACUCUGAGGAAAUGCUAAUAACUGCUUGUUUCCCCUCCAGUGAGAAUGUGACAGAGGAGGAUUUACGACUGCUCUUCUCAAACUCCGGUGGUACAGUGAAAGCGUUCAAGUUUUUCCAAGAUCGCAAAAUGGCUCUGCUGCAGAUGUCCACAGUGGAGGAGGCGAUUCAGACACUCAUCGACCUUCACAAUUAUGACAUGGGCCGUGGCCACCGCCUGAGAGUGUCCUUCUCAAAGUCCACCAUCUGAGGAUGCCCUGGUGCUAUGUCACCUUUCCUGUCUCUCUCCCAGGAGCCUCAAGUCGAAUUAAUUUUUACCAGUCAUUCCUUAACACCAUAUCAAGAACUUCAAUGAGAAUGGCCCUUAAAGGAACACUCGCUCUGUAUCUGAUCCUUCUAUUGUUUGUGUAUGGCCAGCUGUUAUUCUGUUUUAGGAUGGAUUGACAAAAAUGUGCCUUACUUAGCAAAAUAGCACCAUCCCUUUGCUCUCGUUGUUACACAUUAUAGAGGCGUAGGCACAUUAUGUGUGAUGAUACAGAAAACGUAACCUUUACAGUCACCUUGCUUUGUUGUUUUGAUGGUUUUUGAAAGUGAUAGUUUUUGCUCUUGCCCAAUGUGGCCUCACCUUGUCAUUGUUCAAAACCAAUUCAGUUCAAGCUUUGAAAGCUAGUCGGCUUGCUUUGAUUCAGAGGCAGAAGCUCAUUUUUAUGAUCUAUUGAAUUGAAUCUGAACACAAGUAACAGGAUUUGAUGAAACAUACUCCAAGUUGUAAAUUAUCUCGUGAAUUUGUUUUAUUUUCGGGCUGUAGUGUUUUUUUUUUUCUUCUUUGAUCAGGCACCCAAGGUACUUUUUGUAAUUGAAACCUGUGGUAAACAAAACUCUGACAGUGGGGAGCACAAUCUGUGACAUAUAGUACCUGCUUGGAUAUUUUUCACUCACUUUUGCUUCAGUGAAUUCUGUUACCCAUUUUUUUUUUUUUUAGAUGAAAAUCAGAGCAUGUGCUGAUGGAUCUCGGCAGUUGCAUGUGUCAGAUUGACCAUGUUUGAUGUUGUGAUGUCACAUUAAUGUAGGGACUGUUGGGACCAAAGUAAAUGUGCCUUUAGUCUUACUUUAUUCUGCAUUGUACAAAAUGUUUUAUUCAACCUCUGGAAUAUUUGUAUCAAUGGAGACAAAAAAAAAAUAAUAAAAAAUCGGACUUUCCAACAGGCAUCACUCAUAUAAAUGAUCAUUAAUUGUCCUUGUUCGUGGUUGUACGAGAAUCGCUUACUGAUUCUACUGAAAAUGGACAUUUUUGUGGUCUCGGCCUGGGAAACAAGGGGAAGGGGGGUGUUCUGUACAUUUUCUACAUGAAUUAAGUUUUUACAUCUUUAGGAAUGUAAAGUUCAGUAUAGAAGCGGCACAAUUAAAAGUUCUUUUUUCUACCAA